rnacentral:rRNA from 1 species
UACGUAGGGUGCAAGCGUUAAUCGGAAUUAUUGGGCGUAAAGCGCACGUAGGUGGUUCAUGAAGUCAGAUGUGAAAGCCCUGGGCUCAACCUGGGAAUGGCAUUUGAAACUGAUGGACUCGAGUAGGGGAGAGGGAAGUGGAAUUUCCGGUGUAGCGGUGAAAUGCGUAGAUAUCGGAAGGAACACCAGUGGCGAAGGCGACUUCCUGGCCUACUACUGACACUGAGGAGCGAAAGCGUGGGUAGCGAACAGG